UAAUUGGACAGUUAUGGGAUAAUUGUCGUGCGCUUAGUGCGAGGUUCAAUUCGGUUUUCCUAACAGAAGAAUAAAAUGAAAAUUGUUUUCAUUUUUGCAAGGAGAUAAAAAAGACACACAUAAUUAGCUAACGGUAUGUUUUGCAAUCAAUCACUUAGUAAAUCAGAGCCUAUACGAUAACACAUCAUUUUACUAAACGAUCACUCACACGCGUGCACGCUUCUCUAAAUGGUCGCCCACCUUUUCCUAAAUGAUCACUUAGCGCAUGAGCUUCACUGAACGAUCAUAAAGGCGAUCGCCUAGUUUUUCCUAAACGAUCAAGCAUCUUGACUAUACGAUAGUUGUUGCCUUCUCCCACUUGCUUGAUUGUUGUACACGAUUUCUUUUCCUCCUCACCUUUACGAAAUCCGAACAGAGCCCACACUUUGGAUUCUCACCUCGACAAUACUAAGGGCUCCAAGUGGUGGUGUCGUCUCCAUUUCCUACUGUUCGUGUGAACCCAUUCGUGGUAGACGACCAGAGUGGUGCUGAACGAUAGGCUGCUGUUCUAGCGAGAGCGCAAGAAGUCUGUUCAUGGAGAGAGCAAGAUUUGUUCUGAAGAAAGUCUUCAACUGAAAUCGUUCGUGAUCAAGAUCUUUGGAAGAGUCGUUGAUUGGAACUUCAAGAGGAUCAUUCUUGGAACUUGGGAAUCUACAAAGGAAAUCAGUCACCGCAUGCAUUAAUGGCUCAAAGAUAAAAGAAACAA